UGAGUUUGAUCCUGGCUCAGAUUGAACGCUGGCGGCAGGCCUAACACAUGCAAGUCGGACGGUAGCACAGAGGAGCUUGCUCCUCGGGUGACGAGUGGCGGACGGGUGAGUAAUGUCUGGGGAUCUGCCCGAUAGAGGGGGAUAACCACUGGAAACGGUGGCUAAUACCGCAUAACGUCGCAAGACCAAAGAGGGGGACCUUCGGGCCUCUCACUAUCGGAUGAACCCAGAUGGGAUUAGCUAGUAGGCGGGGUAACGGCCCACCUAGGCGACGAUCCCUAGCUGGUCUGAGAGGAUGACCAGCCACACUGGAACUGAGACACGGUCCAGACUCCUACGGGAGGCAGCAGUGGGGAAUAUUGCACAAUGGGCGCAAGCCUGAUGCAGCCAUGCCGCGUGUAUGAAGAAGGCCUUCGGGUUGUAAAGUACUUUCAGCGGGGUGGAAGGCGAUGUGGUUAAUAACCGCGUCGAUUGACGUUACCCGCAGAAGAAGCACCGGCUAACUCCGUGCCAGCAGCCGCGGUAAUACGGAGGGUGCAAUCGUUAAUCGGAAUUACUGGGCGUAAAGCGCACGCAGGCGGUCUGUUAAGUCAGAUGUGAAAUCCCCGGGCUUAACCUGGGAACUGCAUUUGAAACUGGCAGGCUUGAGUCUCGUAGAGGGGGGUAGAAUUCCAGGUGUAGCGGUGAAAUGUGUAGAGAUCUGGAGGAAUACCGGUGGCGAAGGCGGCCCCCUGGACGAAGACUGACGCUCAGGUGUGAAAGCGUGGGGAGCAAACAGGAUUAGUUACCCUGGUAGUCCACGCCGUAAACGAUGUCGACUUGGAGGUUGUUCCCUUGAGGAGUGGCUUCCGGAGCUAACGCGUUAAGUCGACCGCCUGGGGAGUACGGCCGCAAGGUUAAAACUCAAAUGAAUUGACGGGGGCCCGCACAAGCGGUGGAGCAUGUGGUUUAAUUCGAUGCAACGCGAAGAACCUUACCUAUUCUUGACAUCCUCGGAAUUUGGCAGAGAUGCCUUAGUGCCUUCGGGAACCGUGAGACAGGUGCUGCAUGGCUGUCGUCAGCUCGUGUUGUGAAAUGUUGGGUUAAGUCCCGCAACUAGCGCAACCCUUAUCCUUUGUUGCCAGCGAUUCGGUCGGGAACUCAAAGGAGACUGCCGGUGAUAAACCGGAGGAAGGUGGGGAUGACGUCAAGUCAUCAUGGCCCUUACGAGUAGGGCUACACACGUGCUACAAUGGCGCAUACAAAGAGAAGCGACCUCGCGAGAGCAAGCGGACCUCAUAAAGUGCGUCGUAGUCCGGAUCGGUGUCUGCAACUCGACUCCGUGAAGUCGGAAUCGCUAGUAAUCGUGGAUCAGAAUGCCACGGUGAAUACGUUCCCGGGCCUUGUACACACCGCCCGUCACACCAUGGGAGUGGGUUGCAAAAGAAGUAGGUAGCUUAACCUUCGGGAGGGCGCUUACCACUUUGUGAUUCAUGACUGGGGUGAAGUCGUAACAAGGUAGCCGAU
rnacentral:rRNA from 1 species